rnacentral:lncRNA from 12 species
AGUUAACUCAGUUUUUUUUAAAUUGUCAAAAAUCUUAUUUUUUAUUAUGUUAUCAUGUUUUUAUUGUAUUUCAUUGUAUUAGUUAGCUGUAUUUUUUAGUUAUUUUUUUUUCACUUAAUCAAAAUAACUCAACUGCAGUUUAAUUGAGAUUAAUUGGAAUGAAAAAACAUGGUUUUGGAAAAUUGUUAAAAAUUGAGUUUUCUGUUUUUUGCAAAUGAACUCUUCAAAUGAUUCCAAGUAAAGGAAUAACACUGUCUUGCACAGUGAGUUUUGUUCAUGAUGUGCUGAGUCUUGUCCCGCUGUGUCCUCUGUGCUCCUGCAGAGAUGUGAAGAGCUCCAGUGGAGAAAAUUCUCCGUACGAUAACAACUCUCCACUGCUCUCCGACUGGUUUCAUCCAUCAGGACCCGAGGAUCAGAGUCCCACGAACCUCCAGGAUGCUCUCGAGAGGAACAACACUGUGAACUUCUGCCUCUCCCCCUCACGAGCCGGCGCCGGGGAAACCAUACGUGAUGAGGCUCGUAUCUGGCGAACACGACAGGCUCUUCUGUCAGGACUUCAUGACAAACUCCUCACAGGUUCGGAUGGACACCUGUAUAAACGCGCCUCCUCUGAAGUCUUCUACGCUGAUGACAGCGACACGAAACCUGUGCAUGAGACACAAGCGUCUCGUACGAACGUCACUGCUGAAUGUGAAGCACGCCUACAUCCAGUCGCAUCGAGACACCAGACUGCAUUUGACCAAUCAGAGGAGGCUCCCGCCGCUCCCGCCAAACCAGACAACAGACUUCCUGCCGUGUCCAUGCAGCCGCGGGUCACUUCCUGUCAGCAUCCAGAUUGGCCGACAGAGAAGUGGCAAUUAUGGCAACUCCUGUCAUCAGACAGCAUAGACACACUUCCAGAGACUAUGGUGUGAAACACACAGUUUAAAGGGACAGAUCCCAAAAAAUUAACUUACUGUCAUCAAAAGAACAUUGGACCCCACUAACUUUCAUUGAAUGAGGCAUUUCUCAAAAUAUUUUCUUUUAUGUUCCAACGAAGAAAGAAAGUCAAACAGGUUUGGAAUGAGUGAGGAAUGACAUAAUGCUUUUUUUUUUUGGUGAACUGUCCCUUUAAGAACCUUUUAAUUUGCAAGUGAAUUGUAUUUGAAUGACAGGAAGCACCACAAAAUGUUACCACGUUGUUUUCAGAUCAUUUUAUAAAAAAUAAUUAUUGGUAUAAAAAUUUUUGAUGAAUAUUUACAAAUUUGCGGUCAUUAUGAUUUUAUUUUAUUUUUGACAGAAAUUAAUAUUUUUAUUAAUCAAGGAUGCAUUUUAUAAUGAAGCCAUUUAUAAUGUUACAAAAGAUUUAUAUUUCUAAUAAAUGCUGUUCUUUUGAACUUUCUAUUCACCUGUGAAUCCUGAAAAAAGUGUAUCUCUGUUUCCACAAAAAUAUGAAAUCUUUUCAACAUUGAUAAAAAUCAAUAAAAAAAAGCAUAUUAGAAUGAUCUCUGAAGAUCAUGUGACACUGAAGACUGGAGUAAUGAUGCUGAAAAUUCAGCUGCACAUCACAGAAAUAAAUUACAGUUUAACACAUAUUCACAUAGAAACCCCUAAUUUAAAAUUGUAAUAAUAUUUCACAUUUUUUACUGUAUUUUUGAACAAAUAAAUGCAGCCUUGAUGAGCAGAAAAGACUUCUUUCAAAAACCAUAUGUUGAGUGUAUGAACAUGUUCAUUGGUAAUUAUACCGAAACAUUAAAUGUAUUAUUAAAAAGUGCUCUUUUAGCAGGGAUAUGAAUUUAUUUGAAUAUAAUUUUAAUUUUACUUGUGUAGAUUGUAAAUCAAAUUGUAAUUCUAUAUCCUGUGUGUUGUGGCCAGCUCAGUUCAAAUGACAGGAUAUGAACUGAAAAGAAACCUUAAAUUGAGUUGAAGCUCAAUUGAAUUUAUAUAUAGAAUAUAUAAAAUAACCACAGUUCAGUUGCAUUCAGCAGUUUGGACGUUUCCAAAGACUCUCAUUUCUUGUAGGUGAUUUUAAACACAACAAACACUUGCGCGUCAGAGAUUUCAAGAUUUUAUCUGUUAUUAAUAAUCCCUCAUAUUUUCCUUCAUUCAUCAUGUGUGACAUUAUCACUUCAUAAGGUAACGAGCAUGUGAGAUUAAUUACAGCGAUGCAAACAUACAGAAUGUCAAAUCUAUACGACAUCCAGUGUAUUUAUUUAUUAAUGUUAUUUAUUAAAUUAGCCAAUAGUAUGUAACCACUGUGUAUAAUCACCACAGAAUGAUUUAUUUCAGAGUUCGUUUGUUGCCUCCGUAUUGCUUCAUCUGCAUAAAAUCAAUCAGAUUUUUAUCUUCACUAUAUUCAGAUAUCUGUGAAGUCAUCGUAAAGUCAAAAUGAGUCUUAAGUCAUGUUCCUGGUUCUGUUGCCUGUGAUUCAGUGGUGCACAAUAUUCUGAACAAACAUGUUUAUCUUUACCUGUUUUUUAGAUAUAUUCAGCAAAUGAUCAUUUUUGUGUGAACUAUUCCUUUAAAUUGCAUCCACAUGAAGAACAAAGCAAUCACGUCCUGUAUAUGAGUUUAUACAUUCAUUUAGUACUUCAUUAUUUUCUUUCUCUGUCAGUGUUCUGUUUGAUAUUUGUACAGCCAAGAGCGAUGUAAUGUUGAUCAUUUUAUAUAUAUAUUUUGAUAAUCGAUUAUUUUUAUCCAAAUAGCAGGAGAAAGACCAAAUUCUGAGCAUUUUCCUGAUGUGUACUGUGUUUGUUUUCAUCAUGCGGUUCAUUGUCUUAUGCAGUGAAUAUCAGCAAGAGCCUUAGAUUGGGGUUUUGGAUUGUGCUUUUAUAGUUUUGUUUUGUUUUUUGCCUGUAGUUGAAAGCAUCAGUGUUCAGAAACUCAAUAAAAUCAAUGUCUGUCAAGUCCAUCUGUGUAGCAUCCAGGAUUUAUUUUUAUUCCACACUACAGUGUUAUUUUAGUACUGCCAUAGUAUUUAUUUUUAUAUUUUACAUUUUUAAUUUUAUUUGUGUAAUUUUUAGUAGUUUUGCUUUUAAGUCUAUUUUGUUUUUAUUCAUUUUUCAUUUUAGUCAUUUUAGUAGAACUUAUAUAUAUAAUUUCAGUUAAUUUUAUUUCAAGUAAUGGAAAUAUUUCACUGGUUUUAGUUUUAUUUGCUAUAAUAACCCUGCAGACUAUAUAUCUAUUCAGAAUGAGUUAUUGUACUUCAUAUGUCUACAAAUGAAUAGAUGUUUACUGUAAAUAUUGUGUGUGUUCAUGCUCGUCGGUUUCCUUCAGUUUGUAUUUAGUCCAUUGUUUUGGUUUCCCAUGAGCAGCAUGAAAACACAUUUUUAUUCCUUCCAAACAGGAAGUUACAAACAAUCAAGUGAACUGAUGAAGUGAAGUGGACGGCAACGCUUUUGGCAGAUCUUUGCUCUGUAUUAAGACCAACAAUGACACACACACACACACACACACACACACACACGCAUACACACANUCAUUUAUUUGUUUAUACAUUGUAUUUAUUUAUUUGUUUGUCUGUUUGUUUUAUUUUUUUCACAAUGACCCUCUACUUUUACUGCAUGAAAAGCAGCAGAUUGAACAUUCUUCUUACGCAG